rnacentral:rRNA from 1 species
UACGGGGGGGGCAAGCGUUGUUCGGAAUUACUGGGCGUAAAGGGCGCGUAGGCGGCCUGCUAAGUCGAACGUGAAAUCCCUGGGCUCAACCCAGGAACUGCGUCCGAUACUGGUUGGCUUGAAUCCGGGAGAGGGAUGUGGAAUUCCAGGUGUAGCGGUGGAAUGCGCAGAUAUCAGGAGGAACACCGGUGGCGAAGGCGGGUCUCUGGGCAGUAACUGACGCUGGAGGAGCGAAAGCGUGGGGAGCGAACAGG